GACGAACGCUGGCGGCGUGCUUAACACAUGCAAGUCGAACGGUGAUGCUCCAGCUUGCUGGAGUGGAUCAGUGGCGAACGGGUGAGUAACACGUGAGCAACCUGCCCCAGACUCUGGAAUAAGCGCUGGAAACGGCGUCUAAUACUGGAUACGAAACUGGCCCGCAUGGGCAUGGUUUGGAAAGUUUUUCGGUUUGGGAUGGGCUCGCGGCCUAUCAGCUUGUUGGUGAGGUAAUGGCUCACCAAGGCGACGACGGGUAGCCGGCCUGAGAGGGAGACCGGCCACACUGGGACUGAGACACGGCCCAGACUCAUACGGGAGGCAGCAGUGGGGAAUAUUGCACAAUGGGCGAAAGCCUGAUGCAGCGACGCCGCGUGAGGGAGGACGGCCUUCGGGUUGUAAACCUCUUUCAGCAGGGAAGAAGCGAAAGUGACGGUACCUGCAGAAGAAGCACCGGCUAACUACGUG
rnacentral:rRNA from 1 species